rnacentral:rRNA from 1 species
CAUCUGGAAAGAUGAAUCAAAGAAGGUAAUAAUCCUGUAGUCGAAAAUGUUGUCUCUCUUGAGUGGAUCCUGAGUACGACGGAGCACGUGAAAUUCCGUCGGAAUCUGGGAGGACCAUCUCCUAAGGCUAAAUACUCUCUAGUGACCGAUAGUGAACCAGUACCGUGAGGGAAAGGUGAAAAGCACCCCGGAAGGGGAGUGAAAUAGAACCUGAAACCGUGUGCUUACAAGUAGUCAGAGCCCGUUAAUGGGUGAUGGCGUGCCUUUUGUAGAAUGAACCGGCGAGUUACGAUUUGAUGCAAGGUUAAGCAGUAAAUGUGGAGCCGUAGCGAAAGCGAGUCUGAAUAGGGCGUUUAGUAUUUGGUCGUAGACCCGAAACCAGGUGAUCUACCCUUGGUCAGGUUGAAGUUCAGGUAACACUGAAUGGAGGACCGAACCGACUUACGUUGAAAAGUGAGCGGAUGAACUGAGGGUAGCGGAGAAAUUCCAAUCGAACCUGGAGAUAGCUGGUUCUCUCCGAAAUAGCUUUAGGGCUAGCCUCAAGUGAUGAUUAUUGGAGGUAGAGCACUGUUUGGACGAGGGGCCCCUCUCGGGUUACCGAAUUCAGACAAACUCCGAAUGCCAAUUAAUUUAACUUGGGAGUCAGAACAUGGGUGAUAAGGUCCGUGUUCGAAAGGGAAACAGCCCAGACCACCAGCUAAGGUCCCAAAAUAUAUGUUAAGUGGAAAAGGAUGUGGCGUUGCCCAGACAACUAGGAUGUUGGCUUAGAAGCAGCCAUCAUUUAAAGAGUGCGUAAUAGCUCACUAGUCGAGUGACACU